AAAUGAUUUAAUCAUGGCCAGAAGUAUCUUAGACCAGUUUCAGAGAAAAUCCCCCCAACAAAAAGAGUACAACAGUUUAUACAGCAUAAGUGCUUGACAAAGGUGACAUGAUCAAUCACAUAUUUCAUGUCUAAUAUGAUUGGUUCUUCAUGUGUGAUAAUUCAGCAAAUCAUCUGUUACUAGCUCAAAGCAAAUCUGGGUUUCUUGAUUACUUCAGCUUGUUACUCAAAUCAUGAGGUUUAUAUAUUUAUAUGUUUUUGGACAACUGUCUUGUUUUGUUUCCUCUUAUUCAACACGCAGUAACUUUGGCGUAAGUGUUAGAGUCAUUUAGUAUUCAAAAGGAAAUUUAUAAUGUAUUUUAAAUAAAGAUAAUCUUCCACAGAGCUGAUCAUGUUUUUAAUAAUGUUUAUCACAUAAACAUACAAAAACAGAAAAAUACAUACUGUACAUGAUGUUUUGUGUUUCAGAAAAGAUUGUCUUGUGGGUUUUGCUUCAAGGCACUUUUUCCCUCAACUGAUGUAAAUUUAGUAGAAAAUGAAAGAAAAUGAGCAACACCACAUGAAAGACAAAUAAAAAAACAAGAAUGCUACCAAAAGAAAGAACCAAUAAAUCUGUCUAAAGCUGAAGAAGAAUGGCUGAACUGAUAAUUAUGUAAAGGCAAUCAUCUCCAUCAAACUGUGAUAAUAUUCUACAAGACAAAUACAUCAGCAAAAUAUAAAAACAAAACAAACAAACAAAUAAACUUGAUAAUCACAGCUGAACACAACAGAACUGAAAAAGAGACUAGAUGAAGAGCUGUCAUGUCAUUUAUCUCACAUGCACAAAAAACAAGCACGCAAACAAAUAAAAUACUAUUCAGCACCAAAUAAAUAUCACAGAUGUUUAGUUUGAUGAAUAUAAAGAAAUAUCUACCAAAUGUUUGAAGACUUAAAACAGUCAUUGUAACAUCCCUCCAGACAAACAUCACAUUAGUAUUUUUGCAAGGUUUAAUGCAAGAGUAUUUAACAUAGCUUGUAUCAUGUGCAUCCAUUUACAGGCAUAAUAAACACACUCAGAAGAAAGAAAAAAAAGUCAAGCUUAUACCCCUGUGCAUCCUUGAGGUCUUAGUGUUUCUGUUUUUACCUUUCUGACUUUUAUUGUAUUUGUCUUGUUUGUGUGUGACUUCUUAUUUAUGUAUUUUAUUUAUUUAUUUUAUUUUUCCCGGACAUUGUUAAGCACUUUGGUCAACCAUGGUUGAUUUAAAUGUGCUAUAUAAAUUUUCACAACAUGGUGUCAUCUUUUUUGAGAUACCAACCUCAAAUUUGGAACACAACUUUAGAUUUAUGACUUUGUCUUUCUAGCACUUUUUGGGUUAAUGUUUUAGAAAUUGUGUUGAAACCCUGUAAUUGUUCAAAUUGCCAAGGAUCAGCAGUCUUACCUAAAAGUGAUCAGGCAGACCAAACUUGCUCAACCUCAUUAACUGUUAAAAAGCAUUAAAACACAUACAUUUCCUUUGCAAAUUGCUUGUGUUGGCUGUAAAUAAUCUUUUCUCUCUUUGAUGUGUUUACAUGCUUGCAAAAGAAAACAGAAUACUUUUUUAGGCAUUGCUUUAAAGGCCUUAAAGAGAUUGAACCACUAUAAUUUCUGCUUGCAGCUACAAUUUAAAUUGAUGCACAAGGGUUAAAGCAGGUUUUAGUUCUGGUGUAGCUGCUGUGUGUGUGUGUGUGUGUGUGUGUGUGUGUCAAAGUGUAUGUGUGUGUGUGUGUGUGUGUGUGUGUGUGUAUGUG
ensembl:lncRNA